AACGGAAAAAAAAAACGAAAAAAAAAAUUUAAUUAAAUAAAUAAAUAAAUAAAAUAUAAUAGAAAAAAUCUUGGACUUGGACCUCUCUCAUUUGAGCCCACAAAGCCAUGAAAAUCAGGUUAUAAAAGAGGGAGAACAGACAAAAAAAGGAAGAGAAGCAAAACACUAUGAGGUUUCCUUGGAACAAAACCCUGGACAAAACCUGAAGAGAAACCUAGACAGAGAGAGUGAGAAUUAAUCUGCAGCAACCUCCAGGCAACUCUGAAAGGUUCAUUCUGACUUACACACUUUCAGCUCAAGCAAACCCUAACAUUGAUUUGCAAAUCCAGUCGUGCCAUUUGAUUUCAACCGAUCUCUCCAAU
rnacentral:lncRNA from 1 species